rnacentral:rRNA from 1 species
CUUGUCCUCAGACUAGCCAUGCACGUCUAGUACAAACUAAAUGAUGGUGAAACUGCAAAUGGCUCAUUACAACGGUUAUGAUGUACCCGGGAGUUCCGAUGGAUAUUUCCAGUAACACUAGAACUAAUACAUGUCUCUGCGUUUAUUAGUUUCGCACAGUCCGUCGCUGAGUCAUGGUAAACAGCUGAUCGACUCGACGUCCCGGAACAGUUUCCGCCCCAUCAGCUUCGAUGGUUGGGUAUUGGCCUACCAUUGCAACAACGGGUAACGAGGAAUUAGGGUUUGAUUUCGGAGAGGGAGCCUGAGAAACGGCUACCACAUCUACGGAUGGCAGCAGGCGCGCAAAUUACCCAAUGCAGACACUGUGAGGUAGUGACGAGAAAUAAUAAAGCGGGACUUCUGUUUCGCUAUUAUAAUGAGGAAUAACCAAAGGUCAUUCCGAUUAGCAACUGAUGGGAAAGUCUGGUGCCAGCAGCCGCGGUAAUACCAGCGUCAGUAGC